CACGAACGCUGGCGGCGUGCCUAAUACAUGCAAGUCGAGCGCAGGAAGCUGACGGAACUCUUCGGAGGGAAGGCAGUGGAGUGAGCGGCGGACGGGUGAGUAACACGUAAGGAACCUGCCUCAAGGAUUGGGAUAACUCCGAGAAAUCGGAGCUAAUACCGGAUAGUUCAACGGACCGCAUGGUCCGCUGAUGAAAGGCGCUCCGGCGUCACCUUGAGAUGGCCUUGCGGUGCAUUAGCUAGUUGGUGGGGUAACGGCCAACCAAGGCGACGAUGGACAGCCGACCUGAGAGGGUGAUCGGCCACACUGGGCCUGAGACACGGCCCAGACUCCUACGGGAGGCAGCAGUAGGGAAUCUUCCACAAGGGACGAAAGUCUGAUGGAGCAACGCCGCGUGAGUGAUGAAGGUUUUCGGAUCGUAAAACUCUGUUGUAAGGGAAGAACACGUACGAGAGGGAAUGCUCGUACCUUGACGGUACCUUACGAGAAAGCCACGGCUAACUACGUGCCAGCAGCCGCCGUAACAC
rnacentral:rRNA from 1 species